rnacentral:lncRNA from 1 species
AUGAAGAAGGACAGCCUGAGUCGCGCCGAUCAGCAGUAUGAGUGCGUGGCGGAGAAUACCGAAGGCGCCUAAAAGAAGGUGUUCAAGGCCCAAGAUGUGAAGAAUGGCGGCCGCUUCUUUACUCUGAAGCGCGUGUGAGUGAAGACCAGUGAGGAGGGCAUGUGGCUCUCCACCAUCUGCGAAGUGGUGGUGCUGAGGCACCUGGAGAAUUUGAGCACCUCAACGUGGUCAGGUGA